UAUAUCGUAGCUAAUGAGGUUAAUCCGAGGUGCGAUUAUUGCUCGUUGAAAACUUAUUCCAUC
rnacentral:snRNA from 1 species